GGGCUCACACAAGCGGUGGAGCAUGUGGCUUAAUUCGAAGCAACGCGAAGAACCUUACCCGGGUUUGACAUGCUUGGAUGCCCUCUGGGGAUAACUCAGAUGGGCUGCCCUUCGGGGUGAAACUUGCACAGGUGUUGCAUGGCUGUCGUCAGCUCGUGCUGUGAAGUGUCGGGUUAAGUCCCUUAACGAGCGAAACCCCUGUCGCUAGUUGCCAGCGCGUUAUGGCGGGGACUCUAGCGAGACUGCCGGCGUUAAGCCGGGGGAAGGUGGGGACGACGUCAAGUCAUCAUGGCCUUUAUGCCCGGGGAUGCACACGUGCUACAAUGGCGUGCACAGAGCGAUGCGAGACCGCGAGGUGGAGCAAAUCGCAAAAAACACGCCCCAGUUCGGAUUGGAGUCUGCAAUUCGACUCCAUGAAGUUGGAAUCGCUAGUAAUCGCGCAUCAGCCACGGCGCGGUGAAUGUGUUCCUGAGCCUU
rnacentral:rRNA from 1 species